UGCCUUUAGCGAAGAGGAAACGCCCGUUCCCAUCUCGAACACGGAAGCUAAGCUCUUCAGCGCCAAUGAUACUGCAGUCUUAACUGUGGGAAAGUAGGUCGGUGCACCCU
rnacentral:rRNA from 1 species